rnacentral:misc_RNA from 1 species
GAUGAAGAACGUAGCGAAAUGCGAUAAGUAAUGCGAAUUGCAGAAUUUCCGUGAGUCAUCGAAUCUUUGAACGCACAUUGCGCCCAUUGGUAUUCCGAUGGGCAUGCCUGUUCGAGCGUCAUUAUCUUCCCUCAAACCUCGCGUUUGGUGUUGGGCCGUGCUGGUUCCUGCGUGACCAACUGGCCUCAAAGACAAUGACGGCGUCCGUGGGACCCUCGAUGCAACGAGCUUCUCAGGAGCACGCGUCGAGUUUCAAGGACCUUCCGGGCCGGUCUCUCCUCGUGUUAUUACAAGGUUGACCUCGGAUCAGGUAGGGAUACCCGCUGAACUUAAGCAUAUCAAUAAGCGGAGGA